rfam:Rattus norvegicus chromosome 9, whole genome shotgun sequence.
GGGGAUUUAGCUCAGUGGUAGAGCGCUUGCCUAGUAACUGCAAGGCCCUGGGUUCGGUCCCCAGCUCCG